GCCUAAUACAUGCAAGUCGAGCGAACUGAUUAGAAGCUUGCUUCUAUGACGUUAGCGGCGGACGGGUGAGUAACACGUGGGCAACCUGCCUGUAAGACUGGGAUAACUUCGGGAAACCGAAGCUAAUACCGGAUAGGAUCUUCUCCUUCAUGGGAGAUGAUUGAAAGAUGGUUUCGGCUAUCACUUACAGAUGGGCCCGCGGUGCAUUAGCUAGUUGGUGAGGUAACGGCUCACCAAGGCAACGAUGCAUAGCCGACCUGAGAGGGUGAUCGGCCACACUGGGACUGAGACACGGCCCAGACUCCUACGGGAGGCAGCAGUAGGGAAUCUUCCGCAAUGGACGAAAGUCUGACGGAGCAACGCCGCGUGAGUGAUGAAGGCUUUCGGGUCGUAAAACUCUGUUGUUAGGGAAGAACAAGUACGAGAGUAACUGCUCGUGCCUUGACGGUACCUAACCAGAAAGCCACGGCUAACUACGUGCCAGCAGCCGCGGUAAUACGUAGGUGGCAAGCGUUAUCCGGAAUUAUUGGGCGUAAAGCGCGCGCAGGCGGUUUCUUAAGUCUGAUGUGAAAGCCCACGGCUC
rnacentral:rRNA from 2 species